rnacentral:rRNA from 1 species
AAGGAAUAUUGGGCAAUGGAGGCAACUCUGACCCAGCCAUCCCGCGUGAAGGAUUAAGGCCCUAUGGGUUGUAAACUUCUUUUGUUUGGGAAGAAAUCAGGACAUUCAUGUGCUGUUGACGGUACCUUACGAAUAAGCACCGGCUAACUCCGUGCCAGCAGCCGCGGUAAUACGGAGGGUGCAAGCGUUAUCCGGAAUCACUGGGUUUAAAGGGUGCGUAGGCGGUUUGAUAAGUCAGAGGUGAAAGCUAGCAGCUUAACUGUUAAAUUGCCUUUGAUACUGUCAGACUUGAAUCAAGUUGAGGUAGGCGGAAUGUGACAUGUAGCGGUGAAAUGCAUAGAUAUGUCAUAGAACACCAAUUGCGUAGGCAGCUUGCUGGGCUUGAAUUGACGCUGAGGCACGAAAGCGUGGGGAUCAAAC